GAUGAACGCUAGCUACAGGCUUAACACAUGCAAGUCGCGGGGCAGCAUGGGGGUUGCUUGCAAUCCCCGAUGGCGACCGGCGCACGGGUGAGUAACGCGUAUCCAACCUGCCCUUCACCACGGGAUAACCCGGCGAAAGUCGGACUAAUACCGUAUGUUGUCCAUUGACGGCAUCCGAUUUGGACGAAAGGUUUGGCGGUGAAGGAUGGGGAUGCGUCCGAUUAGCUGGACGGCGGGGUGACGGCCCACCGUGGCGACGAUCGGUAGGGGUUCUGAGAGGAAGGUCCCCCACACUGGAACUGGGACACGGUCCAGACUCCUACGGGAGGCAGCAGUGAGGAAUAUUGGUCAAUGGGCGUAAGCCUGAACCAGCCAAGUAGCGUGCAGGAUGACGGCCCUAUGGGUUGUAAACUGCUUUUAUGCGGGGAUAAAGUGGCCCACGUGUGGGUUUUUGCAGGUACCGCAUGAAUAAGGACCGGCUAAUUCCGUG
rnacentral:rRNA from 1 species